GCUCAGAUUGAACGCUGGCGGCAUGCCUUACACAUGCAAGUCGAACGGUAACAGGUUAAGCUGACGAGUGGCGAACGGGUGAGUAAUAUAUCGGAACGUGCCCAGUCGUGGGGGAUAACUGCUCGAAAGAGCAGCUAAUACCGCAUACGACCUGAGGGUGAAAGCGGGGGAUCGCAAGACCUCGCGCGAUUGGAGCGGCCGAUAUCAGAUUAGGUAGUUGGUGGGGUAAAAGCCCACCAAGCCAACGAUCUGUAGCUGGUCUGAGAGGACGACCAGCCACACUGGGACUGAGACACGGCCCAGACUCCUACGGGAGGCAGCAGUGGGGAAUUUUGGACAAUGGACGCAAGUCUGAUCCAGCCAUGCCGCGUGCGGGAAGAAGGCCUUCGGGUUGUAAACCGCUUUUGUCAGGGAAGAAACGCUCUGGGUUAAUACCUCGGGGUAA
rnacentral:rRNA from 1 species